rfam:TPA: Bos taurus chromosome 3, whole genome shotgun sequence.
UCCCUGAUGGUCCAGUGGUUAAGAAUCCACCUUGCAAUGCAGAGGACUCAGGUUCAAUUCCUGGUCAGGGAA